rnacentral:rRNA from 1 species
AGUGAACGCUGGCGGUAUGCCUAACACAUGCAAGUCGAACGGCAGCACAGUAAGAGCUUGCUCUUACGGGUGGCGAGUGGCGGACGGGUGAGGUAUACAUCGGAAUCUACUUUUUCGUGGGGGAUAACGUAGGGAAACUUAUGCUAAUACCGCAUACGACCUACGGGUGAAAGCAGGGGAUCUUCGGACCUUGCGCGAUUGAAUGAGCCGAUGUCGGAUUAGCUAGUUGGCGGGGUAAAGGCCCACCAAGGCGACGAUCGGUAGCUGCUCUGAGAGGAUGGUCAGACAGAUGGGAUGAGAGGAAGGUCCGAGACUCUUAGGGUGGGAAGCGGUGGGGAAUAUUGCACAAGGGGGGAAUGCCUAAUCCAGCAAUACGGGGGGGAUGAAGAAGGCGUACGGCUGGGAGAGCCAUUUUGUUGGGAAGGAAAAGAAGCUGUUUAAUCCCCGACGAUUAUGACGGUACCGAAAGAAUAAGCACCGGCUAACUCCGUG